rnacentral:rRNA from 1 species
AACGAACGCUGGCGGCAGGCUUAACACAUGCAAGUCGAGCGCCCCGCAAGGGGAGCGGCAGACGGGUGAGUAACGCGUGGGAAUCUACCUAUCUCUACGGAAUAACCCAGGGAAACUUGGACUAAUACCGUAUACGCCCUUCGGGGGAAAGAUUUAUCGGAGAUGGAUGAGCCCGCGUUGGAUUAGCUAGUUGGUGGGGUAAUGGCCCACCAAGGCGACGAUCCAUAGCUGGUCUGAGAGGAUGAUCAGCCACACUGGGACUGAGACACGGCCCAGACUCCUACGGGAGGCAGCAGUGGGGAAUAUUGGACAAUGGGCGAAAGCCUGAUCCAGCCAUGCCGCGUGAGUGAUGAGGGCCCUAGGGUUGUAAAGCUCUUUCACCGGUGAAGAUAAUGACGGUAACCGGAGAAGAAGCCCCGGCUAACUUCGUGCCAGCCGCCGCAGUAACAC